rnacentral:lncRNA from 12 species
GAUGGGGCGGACCAGCCAGGCGCUGUGAUCCUCCUGUCGCCUUCUCUUCUCUCCCCAGCUUGGGCUAUUUUGGAAGCGUUUUGGAAGGUGAGUGGAACUGUGUGGGCAGAUCCAGUGAACUGUCCAAAUUCAUUAAACUAAAUUAUCUGCUGCUCAAGGAGAGAGCCUCAGCAGCUGAAGCCUAUCAUCAGAAACCAGCCUCACCGCCCCUUCUCCGACCCUCCAUGGCCCAUUACUUGGGAGAGACAGGCGGUGACUUCUGCUUUGGAUUGAACAAAAGGCAGUGGGAAGCACAGGCCCCAGUGAGGGGGAAGGGGGCUAAAAGCCCAAAGAGAAGCUCCACGUCUGCCCCCAACACCUGGCCCUUCCUACAAAGUC